AAAUACCAAAUUCAUUCUGUGCUCUAAUCAAUUCUCCAGAGAUUUGUUUUUUCGAACAAAAAAGGUAUACCUCCUAUCUCUGUGUUGUUUAUUUCCUGUGUUAAGUUUCCGCUUUUAAUCGAAAGUAUUAACAACUAAUUAUCUUGUAAAAUACAAGUCUUAACUACAGUUAGUUAGUUAACUAACACUAGUUCAGUUCUUAACUAGUUUGUUGAUAUAACAGUUAGUUAGUUAGGAUUAUUUUAUCUUCUAGAAUCAUUUUAGUCACAUGUAUAUAAUGAUGUACUCAUGAGUUGAAAUGCAAGUUUUUCAUUCUCUCUCAAAUACAAUUCUCUCAAUUGUUUUCUCUCGAUUGCCAUUAAUGGCUUCUCUGUUUUGAUUCAACUAAACACUCACCAUUGUUGUGAGUUUUGAUAGAAAGUUUUUCCUGUCGGAUUUAAGAACCUAUACUGAUAUACAUCUUUCCGUCUUUAUUUUCUCUAUUUAUCUCUUGUUUAAUGUUCUGUUUGUUAAUUUAAGUUGUUACCUUCUGUUUAAGCUUAAUGUUGUUUCGAGUCGGGAAAAUCGAUGGUUGUUAUUCCAAAGAUUUACAAUAAGGAAUACAGGAUUUAUAAUGAUACAUAAAAUAAUAUAAUAUAAUGUUGUAUACAGGAUUUACAAUAACUAAGUCUUUUUAAAUAAAAAAAGAAGAAGAGAAAAAUUGCAAUUGUUUUUAAUUAAAAAUACAUUCUUGUCGUCAAGAAGCCAAAAUAAAUAUUUCCUCCAUUUUAGUUUAUUUGGUCUGUUUUAACUUGACAUAUAACUUUUUAAAAAAUAAGAAGAUUUUUGAAUCUAGAAAAGGGUUAAAAGAAAUAUCAUUAGACUAUGAAAUUUUUAAAAAAAUUUCAUUAAUAGUCAUAUUUUAUUGCUAAUACUUUAAUCCAAUAAUGUCUAUAUUGUUACUAUAGGGUGAAUAAGGCUCCUUUCAUAAUAAAAACGUAUUGUUUUUUUUUUUAUAUAAAAAAUAUACAUUAUUUCCUAAUAUAAUAUUAAUUUUAAAGAGCAUUUUUAAAAAUGUCUUUGACUAACAUAAAAGUGGAAAGUAAUCUUAUUUCUUUUUCUUAAUCUUUUUUAUCAAUAAAAAUAAAUUAUAUACUUUUUAAACUAAUAAUAUAGGUCAUACAUAAUGAUCUUAUGUAUAUGAAAAUUAAUGAUGAGUUACAAUAUUUUUAUUAGAAAAAACGUUUGAAAAGAAAAGAAACAACAUGUUUAUUAGAAAAAUAUAUAUUUUAUUCAAAUAUAACAAUAUGGGCAUCUUUUGGAAAAAAAUAUUAUCGGGGUGGGGGUGGUGUAAGGGGGUGCAUUUUAUUUCUCGCCUAGUUUAAGAGCAUUUUGACCAUUUAAAAUAUGUGGAGUAACAUAGCAUAGAGUGGUUAUAUGAGGUCUAUAUGACUUGGUGUGUACAAUGGAGAAUAAGAUUGCAAAUGGGUGACAAUAUCAAGAAACUAAACUAAAGUUUUAGGUCAAAGGAAUUCCUCAAACAAAGAUUCGGGGUUAAAGAAAUGGCUCGUAUAGCACCUCACCCGUUUGAAAGGUUUAAACUAACCCAUACCUCUGGGAAAAGUCUAUGAAUAUGAGGUAUAUAAUAACACAAUGGUCGUAUGUUAAGUUUUGAAGUCAAGAAAAGUAGCGAAGCAAAGGUCGGUAAAAGUUGUCGUAAGUUUCUCUAAUAAUUUUUUUGAACUUUGGGUCAAAUGUGUCGAGUAAUGUCAACAUCUGGCCUAUGACAAGGCCCACGAGGGGAUGGGUGGCUCGGGUCAGAGUCAUGAUCGAACAUGACGCUUGUUUGGUGGAUUUAGUUAAGAAAUAAUGUUGUGCAUUUGCUAUCAGCUAUAGCUUUUGGCAUGAUGGUAGGCGUUUGAUCCUAAUAAAUGGUAUCAGAGUCAAGGUUGUGGGUUCGAUUCCCAUAAGCAUUCAGCAUGAUGCAUGAUGCAGGUGUUGGGAGGGAGAUUGUUGAGUAAUGUCAACAUCCUGCCUAUGGCAAGGCCCACGAGGGGUUGGGUGGCUCGGGUCAGAGUCAUGAUCGAACAUGGCGCUUGCUUGGUGGACUUAGUUAAGAAAUAAUGUUGUGUCUUUGCUAUCAGCUAUAAGUUUUGGCAUAAUGGUAAGUGCUUAAUCCUAACAAAUGGUAUCAGAGUCAAGGUCGUGGGUUCGAUUCUUAUAAGCAUUCAGCAUGAUGCAUGAGGCAGGUGUUGGGAGGGGGAUUGUUGAGUAAUGUCAACAUCCUGCCUAUAGCAAGGGGCACGAGGGGUUGGGUGGCCCGAGUCGGAGUCAUGAUCUAACAUGACGCUUGCUUGGUGGACUUAGUUAAGAAAUAAAGUUGCGCCUUUGCUAUCAGCUAUAGCUUUUGGCAUGAUGGUAAGUGCUUGAUCCUAACAAAAUGUCUCAGAUGUUUAUCCCAAUAUCUAAAGAGUUAAAAAGCCCAUGAACUAUCAAAUCAAAAGUCUACGAGUCUAGUUUGCAAUGCACAAAACCUCACAUCAAAUCGACAUCAGAGUAAAAUAUUAUGAGUGUUUUACUACAGACUGUUUGGGUAGAAUUCGGGUCGAGAACCGGAUCGGAUAAAAAAAUAUGGUAAGUAGGCUAUUCAAUGUUUUAUCCCAUAAAAAUAUUUCAUUUUAGUUCCUAACCAGAAAGAAAUCUUAAGAGAGGGUUCUGACGGAAUUCUUGGGUGAUAAAGAUGCGUUUUUAGCGAUUUCUACUAUUAAAGGUUGCCCCGUGACUAGAAACGUGAUUCCUAUGCGUAGAAAUUGUUUCCCCCCUUUUUAGUUGUGUUUGGAAAGAGUUUUGGAAGAUAUGACUUUGUAGUUAUUGGUGUUUUUUCAAGGUUUACACUUGAUUUGCUAAGGUAAUCAUCUCGGGACUCUCGGGACUCUUGUAUGAUUAUUUUUACGAAAAUCUACGGAUGUUUCGUCAAGUUAGAACCAUAUGGAAAAUCUGCCGAUUUAAGCUCAAUUAUAAAUUAUUUAUAAGUGCAUACAAGUUGUGUAUAUAUAGUGUUUGUGAAGCUUAGGACGUAAGAAAUUUUUUUUGUAAAAAAUCUUUGAGCAUUCGGGUUUUCAUUGAAAAGGUAUGUUAAGGCUAAGCUCUGUCCUUCCUUUUAGCAUGACUCCUGGAAAAUUUCUAAAACACCAAAUGCGAUAUUUUACAAUUCUAUUUCUAGAAAGACCUUCUAUGAAAGGCAUUGGGAUCACAACUGAAUUAUUUCCAUGAUACUAUUAUGUUGAUAUUCCACUCGUUCAGAUAAAUAAGGUAUUCAACAUCUACACGUCAUUUUAUCGGCUUCCUUGACCAUAUGUUCAUAUGUAUGAAAUCUUAUUCUUCUUUGGGUGGUGCGACUUAAAAAGAUUAUGGAAGACAUUUAGUAUUUCCAACUAGUCCUCUUUCCCCGCUAAAAUGUAUUUUGAAAAUUCUUUAAAGUAACACACGAUUUUCAAAACUCUCAAAUAUCACUUAAAUAUUUAAAGUAUUAAAAUAGUUGAUUUUUGAAAUUUUUAUUUUAUAAAUUAUCUUGGAACCAAGUGAAGCACCUUAAGCUUUUUAUGAACAUCUUCAAGGUUAAGUUAUCUUUCUAAAAGUCGAGUGAGGUUUUCAAGCUUAUUCGGAAAGCAUAUGAGGUUUUACGAGACAUUUACAUGUUAUACGAAAGUGAUUAUAGGAUUAUGAAAGCAAGAGUAUAAAUGGGCCAAGAUUGGCAACAUGAUUAUGGUAACAAUAUGCAUUACAAAUCCAUAACAUGACAUGUUUUGCAUUCUACUCCCGAGCUAUAAUAAGAAGGUAUGAAGCAUAUUGCUUAUAUUUAUACCUAUGAGACACAAGUGGCCACAUACUGGUGAAUAUGAUGCAGGUUAGCUACCGAAAGGCACCACCAUUGCUAGGAUUUGGUUGGGUAUGUCAUGUAUAAGCAUCUAUAUAUGUAUUCACGACAUACAAUUACACGGGCAUAUCAUGCAUAUUUGAAUAGUAGGAGGUCAAAUGUUAAUCAUGGAGAUUAUUUGAGUUUCAGUUUCAGGUGAUAUCUCUAUUACCUUUCUUUUACAAAAACUACUUAUGAUUCUACUUUCUACCUUACAUACCAGUGCAUUUUUAUUCGUACUCAUAUCCCAUUGCCUAGGGACGCUACUUUUUUUCUUCAUGCGAACAGGUCCAGAUAGGGAUUCUGAUGGACCUACGCACUAGGAUUCAUGUUCAACUGUGAGUUGGUAAGUUCCAUCUUAUCCUGGGUUAUCAGUGGAUGUUUACUUUUGUUGUACAUUUUAGGUAUAGUUAGAGCCUUGUCCCGGCCAACAAUGCUUAUAUCACUCGUAGAGGCUAUUGUGGACACAAUAUUCUAAGUUUCUUUUACAGGUUUCAAUCUUCAGUCCAUAGGCUUGGCAUGUAAUAUAUGUGUGUAAGUAUGUAUGUCUUCGGUUGCGGCCUCGUCGACUAGCUAGUACUUCUUCAUUUUUGACUUGUCUACCAUUUUAAUAUGGUUUAUUGUUAUUCAUGUCACGACCUUAAUGAUUCAGGCUUCAUAUUUCAAAUAUUGUGCUGCCCGAUCGAAUACGGUAUUGAGUGCCAGUUGCGCCUCCCUAUUUUGGGGGUAACAAAACUGUCCUUUAAUCAUGUUAUUUUAAACAUGAUGAUAUAUAAAGUUGAUAUUAAAAAGAGAAAAAAAUUCCUUUAAAAAUAGAAUAUAAAUAAAUAAAUCAUACAACUAAAACCGAGAAAGUAAUGCAUUGUAAUUACAAUAGAAAUGUUGGUUCCAUGAGUGGAGUGAAUUCAUUUAUUGUGUUAUAUUUAUCACAUAUUGGUCCUUGAGUGGCCGAAUUGGUGUAUUUAAAUGUUGUGGUGGUCCUUGUGUAGAACAAAAUUGCAUGUUAAAUAUCAUGAUAAUGUUGAAUCAUGUGUUGGUUGAGUCAAGAGAAAUUAGAAGGGUUUACCGGUUAAUAGAGUUAGUUGGUAGAUUUGAGAUCAAGAAUGGAUUUAGUAAAAAAGACACUGGUGUUGGUAGAAUAAGUGGUUUCGAGAGGUCAUUAUGUGAUAGAAGAGUUAGGAGAUGAUCGAUUGGGAAGGUAAAAUGACUCUUAAUGUGGGAGUUGGCAGCAAAAUGCGGUGGGUGACUUGGAAAUAUAAUGUAUGAAUCGAAGGUAGUGGGACUCGAUGGCUAAGAGAUUGAGAGUGGAUUGUUCAAGUCUUAUGUUUUCUUUUGAUUAUUUACAUGUUAUUAUGUGGUCUAUUCGUGUAACGAUCCGAUUCGUCGUUACUAAAUGACAGCUCGUGCAGAGUCCUAACUCCUAAGGUGUGGUCUAUAGCCAAGAAUUCCUAAAAUUUGAGUAUGAUGGAUUUUGGCUUAAUUUAUUUUUUCGAGCUGGGCUGACGUCAACUUGCAUAAGCAGAAGGUCCCUCUCUACGGCGAUGCCGCUAUAGCGGUCUGAGCGAGACGUCAAAAAUCAACAACCUAAUUAAUGCGUCGUCUUUUAUUUUCCUCCUAUUUUUUGGAAGGAGGAAAUAGAUGAGGUUGCUCUUAAAACCAUUCAAGAGCACCCAAGGAAAGGCAGCAAUGGAGGAGGAAGAAAUUCCACACUAUGAGGGAGAAAUUCAAUGUAUUUUUCAUGUCUUUCAUCAACAGGAGAUUAUGCGGAGUCGUAUUCAAGGACAAAGUUCAUCAGUAGUUGUUUGACGUCUAGGUAGAUAGGGUUUCUUUCAAAAUUAUUAUUAGACCUGCUUUUAUCGCAUUCUAUAUUGUAAGUAUUCGAAGAGCUCAUGUUUGACCUUUGGGCACGGAGUCUGAAUGGUUAAAUAUUGAAUUGUUGUUAAGGCAUAAAAAAUGAUGACAAUGGGGUGUUCUCUAGUGCUUGGUUAUUAAUACGAAAUUUCUUUGUCGGAGUGACUUAGUGUUAAUUGUAAGGUUAGGGUGUUUAUGAAAUUGUUGGGUUAUAGCUAUUUAUGGAACCUGUUUUAAUCAAGGGGAACUAAAUAAAUGAGAAGAGUAUCAAUUCAUGAGACUGGGGAGAUAAUUCUCAGGGAAAAAUGUGCACUCAUAAUGAGGUUCAAUAUUUUGCGAUAUUGAUACAUAGGUGUAUAUGUGUACAUGAUAGUUGUAUGCUUCUGAAUUAUGUAUAUGUAUAUUUAUUGCUUGUAGUGUCAUAUUGUGUAAUGUGUGAUAAGAAGCAUAUGAAAUGAACUUGUGAUUGUAACUUGUGGGCUUAAAUAGUUUUGUCCAUUGUGCUAUGUGUUGAUGCAUGUUAUGGUGUAAUAUGAUUAUGCAUGCUUGGUGUGCUUGUUGGUUGGCUCGGGUACCACGCCGAUACAAAACAUUGUUGGUUGGCUCGAAUACUACGCCUAGUAUGAUUAUAUACAGUUGACUCGGAUACCACGCUUGGUAUAAUACUACAGUUUGGUCUGGGUCUCAUUAGAGGACUAGUAUGUUGUAUAACUGAGAGUCUUGGUAUUUGGGGUUGUUAUUAUAUGUGGUUAUGGUGUUGCGGGUUGUGUAGAUAAAUCCAGGACGGGGACUAGGAGCCCUGGGUUAGGUCACGCUUUGUGAUGGUUGAGGGAUAUUAUAGGUUAUUACUAAUUGCACCCUUAUAACUUGUUUUGUAUAGUAGUUGUGUUGCCUAGUGGAGUGAGUUUAUGGGGAUCCAAUUCUUUAGUGGUCUAAGUCAUGGUUCUAUUGGUUGUGAUGGUCUUAGUUGUAAGGGGUUCGGGGUUGAGUCUUACUAAGGAUGAGUUGAGCUAGGGUAUGAAUUUAUGUUAUUGUUCUGGAAAUGGCAAGAGUGGUGGAAUGAUGUUUAGUGACAUUAAUGUGGUAGAUGGAUUAGGUUUUGAUGGCGUGUCAACAUGGCAUGACGAGUAGGCUGGGAAAGCAUUGGGGUGGAGUAUUUGAGGUACUUAGUCAUAAUUUUACCCAAGAAGGGUCGAGGUAAGAGAAUAAAGAAGUAGGGCGGUGCAACUUCUCAUUGCAGGACCUUCUGUCUAUUUACUUGAUAUUAUGUAAUAAGUUCGAAUCGACCGAUGAUGUCUACCCAUACGUGUUGGUUGUACUGAUACUACUCUUGUUAUGCCACUUGAAAUAAUCUGGUUGUAGGGUUAGUGAUGUUUCAUGACGACGAUCUGCAAUAUCUUCCAUGUUUCCUUCCCUUAUGGUGAAAGUUGUGUCAUAUUUUCUUGUCUAAAAUGUAUCUUUUUGGUCACUCAUAUACAUAUUUAGACUAGUUCCUUGGUGGGUAUUUUCAGUAUUUGUAAAAGAGUUCUUUUAAAGUUUUGUUCUUCUCAAAGGCUUGUGAAUUUUAGCUAAUCAUUUAUUUUUCACAUGUUUUAACUGUUUUAGGUGGUAAUGGUUCUCCUAUCUAGGUGCUAAAGUAAGUUCCCAUACGACCCAAUGUAUUAAAUCGUGAUAAGUUGGUAUUUGAGUGCAGAUUAUUGAUCUCCCAGUACAAGAGCAAAUAUUGAAUAGAGUCUUGAAGAUUGGUCAGUUGAUGUACACAUCUAAUCUUUAGUGGGAUAUGAUGCAUUCCAGGAAUCCAUCUCACGUCUUCACUCCUUUCAUAUGGUCUGUCGCAUAUGAUAUAGGUUGAGCCAGUUGGUAUCUUUGGAUUCCAAUUAGUAACUUAACGAAGUAGUCUAGAUGUUGUUAUUGAGGCUGAAGGUACAUAAGCAAGGAAAUAUUAGAACUGGGAAGGUUCCAAUUGGAUAUGGCCUCACGAGCAAUGUGAAUCCAUAAAUGGUCAAUUAGUAGUUAUCCAUCAUACGAGUAGGUUUUCAUGGGCUUGAUUAAAGUGGGAAUGAAUGCUUGAUGGUUGUUGUUGUAUGCAUUGUGGUUCUUGAAUAAUUGUCUAUGUGUGAACCAUGUUUGCAUGUAUGUGAAGUGUGAUUACUUGUAUUUUUGUGAUGUUGUGGAUAAGGAAAUGUCUUGACUUGAUUAGGCGUUGAGUUAAUGAUAAAUGGCUAUGUCUUUUUUAGCAUGAAUUUGUAUGGUCCAGUCUUAAAGUUUUAGGGCUAAGAGACAAAUUCUGUAUUAUACAUAUCUGGAUAUGAUUUUGGGUUUGUUUUUAAACUACAUGGGCUUAUCGUUGGUAAAGAUGGUAAGGGGACUAAUGAUCUAUGACUCUGCGAAAAUUUGGUUUCAGGAAAGUCGAGUUUCGGUUGGGAAUUAUGGUAAAAAAGAAGCUAUUGUUGCAUAAUAGCAGUAUUGGUUGUUAUGAAUAGUUUCUUAGUGUAUUUCAUAAUUGGUGUUAAUAAUGUGAUGUUUAUCUUUUGUCUAUGCAUUUCUGGGUAAGAUCGUGAAGUCUGGAAUGAGUUAGGAAUAUCGAAUGACUGUGACUCUAGUGUCUGGGAUCAGUCUUGAGAUUGCCUUAUUAGGUGAUAUGGUGUUUUCAAGAGUGGGUACAAGCAUGGGGGGUGGGGGUAACGUUGUUGAAAUUUUGUGAUCUGGUAGAAAAUCAUCGGGUUGCUAUAACGGAUGCCAGACCGCUAUAGGUCUCCUGUUAUGGCAGAAUGUAUAUCACCAUAGCGAAAGUCGGUGCAGGGGCACAAACAUUAUAUCAGGCCACACGAUAGUGGUUUGUAUGUCGCUAUAGUGAGGGAAUCAGAGACUCAACUUUGUCCCCCCCUCCCCUUUGGAUUUCCACCCCAUUCCAAUUUCGAUCAUGUGUACAGUUUAGCGCGAUACAAAAAAAUAGCAGAAAACUUAUUCAAGCAUAAUCCAAAGAAUUUAGCAUAGAAAGAGGUGAAUAAACCAUCCAAAUAUCAAUCAUUUAUGUGCUUUCAAAACCAGAAAAAUAGUAAAAGAAUGUCUCUUACCUAAAUAGGGAAAAUCAAGGACAAUAUCUAUGUCUGAAAAAAAAGGGAGAUGGGGAAAUCCUACCAAGCUCUUACCACCCUCAUGGACUGGAGUUGUAACACCUCAAAAAUUAGUAGGUUGAGUUGGAAAAGAAAUUUUUGUGCAGAAGAGUUGUUGGUGCACUGGUCUACGAACGGGUCUACGGCUCGUACAAAGUUCUACGGUCCGUAGAACCCAGUCGCAAAAGGUGAGUUGAGAAAUUUCAAAAUGUCACGUCCUAGAUGAGGGUCUAUGGACCACGAGGAUGGUCCAUAGAAAGUUGAUGAGCCGUAGAAAGAUUCUAGACUUGGUGAAAAUUCAAGUGACUUUGGGUCUACGAAUAAGGCCUACGGGUCGUAGAAAGUUACAUGGACAGUAGAAGUCUUUCGUAGAAAAUGUUUAGAAUUUUCAACUUCUAAUACUCGUUCUACGAACCAACAGGACGGUUUGUAUAAGGUUAUAUGGUUUGUAUAAGGUUAUACGCACCGUAUGUCAGUCCAUAGAAGCCCAUCUGGUAGUUUUAAGUCAGAGAUUUUUGGGUCUUUUUCUAUUCUUUCUAUACCUCUACUAUGUCAUUUUGACCCUAAAACUCAGUCGUACAGUUACUUUCACUCUUAAAAUCUACCAAUUCCCUCCCAAAUCACUCAAACCCUCAAAUUUUCUCAAAGGUCUUCUUCUUGAAUUCUCUCUCAAGGUUAGAGGAAGAUUCCAGGGUUUCUCCCAGAUUCAAGGUUUGUUCUUCCAUAUUUAGGGCUUUGAGUACCCAAGGUAUGUGAGAACUUCACCAAUGGAUCUCUUUCAUCCCUUGGGUCUUAAAAGAAACUCAUUUCCUCUUUUGAUUUCAACUUAAUAUUUCUAGGGUUUCAUGCAAUUCUUCAUGGAUUCAAUUGUCUAUAAUUGAUCUAUUUAUGCAUGAUUUGAUUCAAUUACAUACUUUCCGAUAAAUUUCAUAUGAACCCAUGUCCCAUGCUAUAUGUCUAUUUUAUAAAUAUGAACUAUAAUUAUGAAAUUGUACAUGCAUCAUAAAAUUGAAGAAUUUAUGAAUAAAUGGUGUUUUUAGAUAAAGUAUCAACUAUGAUUUGUGAAAUUUUUCUUAUUAUGAAAAAUGGCCAUGAUUUAGAUGCUUAUAUAAGUGUAUUUAUGAAAAUGUUAUGAAAUCAUGAUUUUGAAAGGAGUUAUUCUAUAAUAUCAGUUUUAUGUUUGGAUUGGUAGUACUAGAUUCUUAUCUUUCCAAGUAUUAUGAUAUGAUUAUGACUCUGCCUAUUUUCCCGUUGGGAUUUUACUUAGCAUCGAGAGGAAUUUGAAAUUGAGGCCCUACUACUAGUAGAGGUUUGGUCUUUAGAAGUAAUUCUCGUAUCGCCUCGUAGGGUUUGUCUUAUAAUGAUAUUGCUAGUAUAGCCACCUAAGCUAAUAUCUAUGGUCCGUACCUUGUCCAGUAUGACAAACUCUUUUCAAUGUGGAAAAAACACCAGAUUCCAUGUUAUAGCUCACAUGGUCUAUAUCGGUUAAUGGUAAACAUCCCACAAAAUAAACUAUGAUUUUAAUUCAAAUGAUUUACGAUUUUCUCAAUGAUUAUGACUUAAGAUUUUCUCAUGAUCUUUAAAUGUGCGUUGACUUUUACCUAUUAUACAUGAUUUAUCUUAUUGAGCUUUAAUACGUUCUACUUGGUCAUGCAUUUCAUGCUCUAAACUCCUCAUGAUAUUAUGUUUAUGUUUCAUGCAUUUCCCCAUAUUCAAUACAUUCAAAGUACUGAUACAUAUUGUGACUAUAUUAUUUCGUAAUAUAAGAUCUGACGCUCUUCCUCUCGGUCGUGGCUAGAUCGGGAUUGCUCAAUUUCAUCAGUGAUAAUAGUGAGUCCUCAUGUUUCGAGGGUGAGAUCACACUUUUCAGUUUAUAGCUUUUGAUGUCAUUUCUGUUUCAGACUUUGUUUGUGGUUUAGGGGUUUGUCCUAACCACAUUAUGAUUAGUAGAGGCUUUGUUACACAUAGAUGAUGUAUUCUGCUUACUUAGUCAUGUACUAUGUUUUGGUAUCUUCUAUCUACUAAAGAGUCUUGAGACUUAUAUCUCAUUCUUAUGGCAUAUUCUCCUUAUUUAAUAUUCAUAGUGUCAUGAUUAUGUCAAGUGGCUUGUUUAGGGCCUCAUAGGGUCAUAUUCGUCAUAUCACGUCUAGGGUAUACUUUGGGUCAUGACAAGGAUCAUCCACCUCUGGCCCCACAUGAACAGGAACUCCUCCAUGUCCUCAGGCUCCAGCUGGGGCAAAUCUUUCUCUAGGAAACACAACUAAACAUGACCUUCAUGGUCUUCCACAUCCGAACCAAUAGAUGGUCCCGGGAGAGACCCUUCCUCCUUUUAGCAUCACACUCUUAAUGAAGCACGACUAUCUCUUGGGAGGGAGAAGAUGGGGCUAAGUGUAUAGUGGUGGCAGCUUCCAUAUACCCUUUGAUUGCCAGGUCAGCCUUCAGGUGGCUUCUAGUUUUCAGGGGCUUAGACUGGCAGGCAGUGGGGUCAACAUUCAUGCCCUCAUCCUUCUCUACACCAGUUGCGGCCUGAAUACUCCAUGGUUUUAUAUAAUAACUAUCUUGCCUAGUGGAGUGAGUUUAGGGGGACCCAGUUCUUUAGUGGUCCAAGCCAUAGUACUAUUAGUUGUAAUGGCCAUGGUCAUAAGGGGUUUAAGGUUGAGUCUUACGAAGGAUGAGUUGAGCUAGGUACUAGUUUCUGUUAUUAUUCUGAAAAAGGAUAGGGUAUUAGAUGAUAUUCAGUGACAUUAAUGUGCCAUAUGGGUUAGGUUUUGAUGUUGUAUCAGUGUGGCAUGACAGGUAGGCUGAGAAAACCUUGAGGUGGCGUAUUGGAGGUACUUAGUCAUAAUUUUACCCAGGAAGGGCUGAGUAAGAGAAUAGAGGAGUCGGGUGGUGCAACUUCCCAUUGCAUAACUUUCAGUCUAUUUACAUGAUAUUAUGUAGUAGGUUUGGGUCGAUCAAUGAUGCCUACUAGUACGUGACUGAUACUAACAACUUUCAUAUUUUCUUUCCUUAUGGUGGGAGUUGUGUUCUAUUUUUUGAUCUAAAAUGUAUCUUCUUAGUCACUCUUGUACCUAUUUAAACUAUUUCUUUGUUCUUAAUAUUUGUAAAAGAGUUCUUUUACAAUUUUGUUCUUCUCAAAGGCUUAUGAAGUUGUAGUAAAUCAUUUGUUUUCUGUAUGCUUUAACUGGUUUGGGUGGUAAGGGUUCUCCUAUCUAGGUGCUAAAGUAGGUGCCCGCAUAGCAUGAUGGGUUGGGUCGUGAAAAUUUGGGUCGACUGGUGGUGCCUACCAGUACAUAUUUUUUGUACUAAUACUACUCUUGUUAUGACAUUUGACAUAGUCUGAUUGCAGGAUCAAUGAUAUUUCUUAGGUGAAGACAAUAAUAAUCUCCGACAACUUAUGUUUCUCUUUCUUUAUAAUGGGAGUUGUGUCUUAAUUUCUUUCAUUAUUUAUAAUUUUUUAGAAGCUUCUAUACCUGUUUAGACUAGUUCCUAGGGAGGGAUGUGAGUAUUUUCAAAGACAAUGUGUUUUGUUAAGUUUGACAAUUGGUUUUCAUAAUAAAUUAACUUCAUUUAUUGAAUUUUAUUUAUUUCUGCGAUUUACUAGUUUUAAAUUGGGUGGUAAGGGUUCUCCUAUUCAGGUGUUAGAGUAAGUUCUUGCACAGACCAUUGAUUUGGAUCGUAACAAUUCUCCAGUCAAUAAGUGAGGGAUUGGAAAACCUUUUCAUGCAAUACCUAACUGGAGUGUGGACCAAACUCUUCCUUCACGUCAAGCCUAAACUAGAUUUUGGAUCGAGAAUAAAAAUAGGAAUGGACCUGACUUUGUCGCUCUGAUAACAUAUUAAAUAUUGGGGAAGGUUUGCAAAUUAAAUGAGAUAUUUAAAAUUCGGGAUAAAUUAUUUAUUUUUAAGCUCACCAUAUAUUUUUUUAUUAAAGAUAAGGAUAAAUUAAUGUAAAAGUAUUAUUGAAUGGAUAUAUUUGGACUGAAAGUAUAAUUAGAAGGGUAUAUUUGAACCGAAAAUAUAACGAUGAGCGUAAUUAAACUAUUUUCAAUAGUAUAGGUGUAUAUUGACCCUUUUUAUGUUUAAAUAUACCCUUAGACUAUAUAUAUUAUUAGAUAAUAUAUAUCAUAUGUUACAAAAGUAGCUCAUUUUGUCCUUAAUAGUAAUUAUUUUUGAAGACUACAGUCCACAAUCACCUCAAUGGAGAUGACACAUAAAUAUAUAGAGAAAAUAUUUUUAGAACCCAUUUGGAUUGGCUUAAAAGUUGAUCAAACUUACUUAUAAAUUAGUUUUUGACUUCUGAAAGUGUUUGGCAAAUAUAAAAAAUAACUUAAAAUAAGUAAAAAAUGACUUAAAAUAAUAUACGAAGUGUUUGGCAAGGUAAAAAAUGACUUAAAAUAAGUCAGAAAUCAAAAGUAGGUCUCCCCCUACUUUUUAUUUUUUGACUUAAAAGUCAUUUCAGUUUGACUUUUUAUUUUUGACUUAAAAGCUACUUUUUUUAAGUCAAUCCAAACGGGCUCUUACUCCACUGUUUCAUUUUUAUUUUGAAUUAUAACAUGCAAGUCAUUAUAGACUGAUGUGUAUAUUUAACUAGUUAUUCUAUUGAAUUAUUCACAAACUAUUUCAAAUCAUCAUAAGUAUAAGACUACAAAUUAAAAAGUGAAAAAGUAAUUUGAAAUUAUGACAUGAAGUCAUGAGUCAUGAGUCAUGACGGAUCAGUAUGUCGUCGUACUAUAUUAUAUUAAUUAUCUUUUUAGAUUACUUAAACAUACCAAUCAUAAUUCAAAGUUACAAAUAAAAAGGAGAAAAAUAAUUUUAAAGUGAGCCUAUCUUUAAAAGAAAAAAAUAAAUUUCAUUUAAGGAAAUUUAUAAAAAGAUGUAUCAAACUACUUCAUGGAGAUUCAUAAAAAGAUGGCAUAAAUCUCGAAAUAGGCUUUACCUAUACUAGUCAUUUUUCAUUUACUACUUCAUAGACUAAAAAAAUUAUUUGACCAAAAUAUAAGAUAAAAAGAAAUUCAAAAUUGAAAAUAAUUGUAUCAAUCUUAUGUAUUAACUUAAUCUUAUCUGUUUACAAACCUUAAGGAGAUUCAUAAGAAGAUGACAUAAAUCUCGAAAUAGGCUUUACAUAUAUUAGCCAUUUUUCAUUUACUACUUCAUAGACUAAAAAAAUUCUUUGACUAAAAUUUAAGAUAAAAACAAAUGUUCAAAAUUGAAAAUAACUAUAUCACUCUUAUGCAUUUUACUUAAUCUUAUCUGUUUACUAGAAAGAUUGACAAUAACUUAAUGCACUUGGUACUAUAUAUAUUGUCACAACAACAAAUACUUCAAAGUAAAAAAUAUACUACUUUUCAUAAUACAGUAUGAUGAAGGCUUCAGUGAUUGUGAUUUUCAUAGUCAUCUCCAUGAUCUUUUCAUCUGGUUAGUCUCUUCCUUCGCCCCUCUACUAUUUUUUUAAGAACGUAAGACAAUUUUAUUUAUAUAAUAAUGAUAACAAGGUUUACUCAUAUUGUGAUUUAUUAAGGGUGUCAAGUGAAAUGAGCUAAGAAUGGGGUCAUAACCCAAUCCACUCAAUUUAUAAUAAUAUUCUUUUUGUUUUUUAAUAUAUUUUGAAGUAGAUAAUAGUUUUUUUUUUCUUAAUUAUGAUUAUAUAUAAUAUAUUAAAUUAUUCUUUUAAAAAAAAAUAUUUUGACAAGGUUUUCAUGAGUCAAUAUAAAUUAUAUACCAGUUCAUUUUUAAAAUUUUUUUGUAUUAACUAUGAAUUAUUUAGUGAUGUGCUAAUAAUUUUUUAAUCCUCAGAUGUGGCAGCAAAAAUAAAAUAUUGUAAUUAUGUUCAUGAUUGUGACACUUGGGAUUUUACUCUGGGGAAGCUCAUUCCUUGGAUGGAUCAUAACUUAUACAAAGGAUAGUCUCUGUAAGAAGGACCAAAGCGCACUGAAAGAACCUACCGAUUCUUGCCAGUCAUAAUAACCAGAACGGGUUAGCCUUCGUUUGCCCCAUUGGCGAAGUCCUGCUACAAUAUAAAAUGUAUUGAUGGAAUUUG
rnacentral:lncRNA from 1 species